rnacentral:rRNA from 1 species
CGGGAGGCAGCAGUGGGGAAUAUUGGACAAUGGGGGAAACCCUGACGCAGCAACGCCGCGUGGGUGAUGAAGGUCUUCGGAUUGUAAAGCCCUGUUUUCUAGGACGAUAAUGACGGUACUAGAGGAGGAAGCC